CACUAUAGCUCCUAUCCCUUCACUAUAGUCACUAUCACCUCCCACUGCAGCCCCUAUCACUCCACUGCAGACCCUUUCCCCUUCACUAUAGCCACUAUCCCCCCACAAAAGCUUCUAUUCCUCCACAGCCACCAAUGCAACCUAAGAAGCAGCCCCCAGAAUAACAUUCCCACCCACAUACAACACUUCAAGCAGCCUCCACUCACAUACACCCUCUCCCAGCCCUGUCCCACUAAUCAUUCAACCAGCCACCUAGUCACAUUUGACAUUCAAUCAUACCCUAAACUAGGAGAAUAUAUAUUGGGGGUGCAUUGAGGAAACUGGUCUUGGGGCAGCAAGGAGGGCAAAUCAAGCCCUGCAUGUACGUCCUUUACACAUUGGGCAUCCUCUCAUUUGACAUUUCACGCUCUUGAACAAAUCAGAAUUUCGCCAUGGAAAGGUUACCACAAAAAAACCUUCUCCAAAGAGAGGCGAGAUAUAUUUUUGAAUUUAAGGCCUUGACUUCAC